rnacentral:tRNA from 1 species
GAUAGUGUGGCCGAUUGGUCUAUGGCGAUGAUUUUAGACACCAGACUCUUCGGAGUCAAGGGUUCGAAUCCCUUUGCUGUCA